CGCCCCAGCAGAGGUGUGUUAAUAGCGCUGCACAUGGCCGUACGGCGCAGUUAGUGAAUC
rnacentral:ncRNA from 1 species